CCUCAGAUAGCUCAGCUUGGUCAGAGCAGGACUCUUAUAAGGUCAAGGUCGUAGGUUCAAAGCCUACUCUGAGGA
rnacentral:tRNA from 1 species